AAACUCUGAUUUAUCUCAAUAGGAUUUUAUCAAGAUUUUUUAGAAAACUAGGAUUUUAAUUCUUGUAAAUACCAUAAUACCCUUAAAAUUUAUGAAUUUUAAUUAUAAUUUAUAAUUUUCGUAAUUAAUUUAAUAUUAAUUAAUAAAAUUAAAAAGAAAAGGCAAAAAAACACGGCCUACCUUACUUUUAUUUCUCUCUUCUUCUCCGUCAUUGCUCUUCAAUCCAUCCAUGGAAAUUUAGGGUUCUUGGAGAAUCCUUAUUCUUCAUUGGUGUUUCGUCGUACGGUUCGUCUAUAUUCUCGUUUUUCUCAUCCUCCUCUUCGUUCUCACACAUUAAAUAACAAAAUCAAAGUGUUCUUCCUCUACGAGUUUCGUCGUACAUUACGAAAUCGAAGUGUAUUUCCAUCAAUUUUAUCAAAAUCUCACGUUUUUCACACUAGGUAUACGAUUACUUCUAUUGAUUUUCUUAACCUUAGAUUAAGUCAUGGAUGUUACUGUUUUUGAUUUGUAUUUGUAGAGUAUUUGGAAAGGGGGGGGGGGGGAUUUGGGUCUUGAAAUCUUUGACUAGUUGUUGGCAACCCAUAGCUUCUCUUGAUUUUGAAAUAGUUUGUGUUUUAAAAAAAACUGCUUUAAGUUUCUGAGACAUCGCAUCAAACUCAUGUUUUUGUUCUUACUGGUUUUAGGUUAUCUUUGAUGUAUGCUUCUGAUACUGUUAAUCUUUAUGUGAAGAGGUCUUUUUGUGCUUAGGCUUUAAAGUCUACAAACUUGGUUACCUCUUGUUUACAAGAUGAUUAAGAGCAGUUGCUACGGGGAAUGGAUUGUAUAACAUAACUUUCAGGUUCUAGUGGCUCCGCUUAUGAUUAAUUGUUGCCAGUCCUUUGUGAUUUAUUAAGUUAUCCUAUGUUUUCUAUUGAUGGCAUGCCUUCUUUGAACCAGACAGCAUAACUCUAUACUUAUGAUCCUCUAUAACAGAACAUGUUAAACUAGUGGUAUGAAUACUAUGUACGUAUCUUUCUUUGUUCCAGAUUUGGUGACAGAGAAUUUCUCUUUUUUUUUUUAUCUUCAUCCGUUGAUUCAAAGAUGAAUAUCAUACACGGUGAGGAAGGAAAGGAAGCUUUCUACACGACCUAUAUGAAGUCUGUGAUAGCUUUGAUGCAAGGGUCUUGAUGUGAUCCAGCAAGCUCAUUCUGGAACAUUAAAGACAGCUAUAAAAUUUCAAUGUGGCGUUUUGCAGUAGCUUGAUUACACUCUUGUUCAGUGCCAAGCUCUUUUUUUUACUCCUACCAUGUAGUGUUAGCUCAUUGCAGCAGCUUGAUUACACUCUUGUUCACCAUAUAACUGAACUCGAUAUUAAGAACAUUAUGGUCCACCCCAUAAUCCUCACA